GGCCGCGCCUGCCCCGCCCCAACCACCGCCUCCUGACGGGCGCCGCGCGCCGCCUCCCGCCCGCGCCGGAGGAGCCCGGGGGCGGCCGUGAGGGGCCCGGCGGUGAGCGGCCCGGCAGCCCGAGGGGGGAGCGCCGAGCGGCGGUGCUGCCCGUUUAGCCGCCUGCCGCUAUGGAGCCUUUGCCGAGCGGGUGUGAGAAACGCGACGCCCUGCCCUAAGCGGGUCACCUGUAUGAAUGAGAGCGGUUUCUCACCACAAGCACUUCAGUUCCACCUGGGCCUAGCCCUCGCUCUACGCGCACGGCGACCCAGACGCGCUCCCCUCACAGAAACGCAGGGGUACCGCCCGCUGCCCCGCGGCCUGGGAAGCGGCCACGGCAGAGCACCCAGCACGGCCGGGCUGUGCCUGCGCUGCCGAGGGCAGCAGCAGCGCUCAGCCAUUGCCAUUAGUGCAAGUGAAUUUGGACAAGAGAUUCAGGCAUCGCUCGUUCUGCAACUCCUGUACACAGCCACGUGCAGCUCUGACUGCCUUAAUUCACAGCAUGCAGUGCCUACACGUCAAUUUGUAUGUUCUGAAGUUCAGACUGCACACAACACUGCUAGAAGCUUCUCCUUAGUUUCACAGGGUAAAGCCAAUACAACCCACAGGUCCGUCUGACAGCCCCAGGCCAUCAAACACACAGCAGCCCCAUACGCCUACAGAAGAUACCGUCUACAGGCUUCAAAGUCAUCACACAUAUACCUGAGGAAGCGUGAACCACAAGAACUGACAGACUGAAAAUACAUUUAAGUCAAUGAAACCAUA